AAGGCGAGGCCGAAAGGCGUAGUCGAUGGGAAACAGGUUAAUAUUCCUGUACUUGGUGUUACUGCGAAGGGGGGACGGAGAAGGCUAUGUUGGCCGGGCGACGGUUGUCCCGGUUUAAGCGUGUAGGCUGGUUUUCCAGGCAAAUCCGGAAAAUCAAGGCUGAGGCGUGAUGACGAGGCACUACGGUGCUGAAGCAACAAAUGCCCUGCUUCCAGGAAAAGCCUCUAAGCAUCAGGUAACAUCAAAUCGUACC
rnacentral:rRNA from 1 species